GAGUGCUAAGUGUUAGAGGGUCUCCGCCCUAUAGUGCUGAAGUUAACGCAUUAAGCACUCCGCCUGGGGAGUACGGCCGCAAGGUUGAGACUCAAAGGAAUUGACGGGGGCCCGCACAAGCGGUGGAGCAUGUGGUAUAAUUCGAAGCAACGCGAAGAACCUUACCAGGUCUUGACAUCCUCUGAGAACCCUAGAGAUAGGGCUUCUCCUUCGGGAGCAGAGUGACAGGUGGUGCAUGGUUGUCGUCAGCUCGUGUCGUGAGAUGUUGGGCUAAGUCCCGCAACGAGCGCAACCCUUGAUAGUAGUUGCCAUCAUUAAGUAGGGCACUCUAAGGUGACUGCCGGUGACAAACCGGAGGAAGGUGGGGAUGACGUCAAAUCAUCAUGCCCCUUAUGACGUGGGCUACACACGCGCUACAAUGGACGGUACAAAGAGCUGCAAGACCGCGAGGUGGAGCUAAUCUCAUAAAACCGUUCUCAGCCCGGAUUGUAGGCUGCAACUCGCGUACAUGAAGCUGGAAUCGAUAGUAAUCGCGGAUCAGCAUGCCUGCGGGUAUACGUUCCCGGGCCUUGUACACACCGCCCGUCACACCGCGAGAGUUUUAACACCCGAA
rnacentral:rRNA from 1 species